rnacentral:lncRNA from 1 species
UGAGACAUACAUCAAACUCAAUAUUUGAGUGAGGGCACUAGUGCAUAGUGUGUACAAUUAAUGGACCCGAUGUUAUGCUCCAAAUGGUCAUAAGACUUUGGGAUUGAGAGUGACCAGGAUUCUGCAUAGUCAUACAGAGUGCAAGAAUCUCCCUUGCGCCUAUGUUACAACAUGUACGACAAUUGAUAGAGGAGCUAAUAAGCCUACUGGUGGGGUUCAUAGGCCAACAGUAGCACGACGAUCUCACAUCAGGUUCCAACCCAACAAGGAAUCUCCUCACGGAUGUGCUCUGUAUUUUACGGCUCAUCGUGGGGACGAUGAAGAGUCACUUGUGGUGGUCGCCCGGUACUGUGUAGUUGGUACAAUUCAGAACGAUGAAUCUUAAUGUGUGGUGGCUGCAACAGACAUCUGGUGCGUCCUUCCCCUAGAAGAAUGUUAGAGCUAGGUCGUAGCUCCUCUUCUCUUUCAUCAUGUUGCCUCUCAUGUCUCGCAACUCUCUCAAGAACAAGGAUGAACACAUCUACUUGGUGC